AAAAACAAGGUAGGGGGAAAAGAAAAGAAAUAAAGCCAAAAUAAAUUAAUAAAUAAAGUGUCCGGUCCACAUUAAAGACCCCCCAAUUUAUUAAUUUAUUUUGGCUUUAUUUCUUUUCUUUUCCCCCUACCUUGUUUAU